UUGGCAGUGCCGGCGCCGAGCCGCGGGGAGCCCCGAGCCCGCUGCGGCGGCGACGGCGGCGGCGGCGACGCGCAUCGCGGCCGCGCCCAUGGCGAGCAGCAGCGGCGGCAGGUAGGGUCGGGCGGGGCGGGGGCCCGCUCCCCCGGCCAUGGCGCAGACGGAGCCCCCGAAGGCGGUGCGGCUGUGGCGCGACGCCGCCCUGCGCGCACGGAAGCUGCGGGGCGGCCCCGGCGAGCCCGAGUCCGAGCCGGAGCCGGACGCCGGGCCGCCGGGCGGGCCGCCGCCGCCCCCCACCGCCACCGCGUCUCGCUGCUCGCCCCCGGCGGCGGUGGCGGCGGCGGCCUUGGGGGAGUUGGAGGCGCUGAACCUGAGCGGGCGGGGGCUGGAGGAGCUGCCCGAGGAGGUGGGCGCCGCCCUGAGCGGGCUGCGGGUCCUCAGCCUGCGGCGCAACCGUCUGGGCCGCCUGCCUGCCGCCGCCCUGCGCCACCUGAGCCGCCUGGCCGAACUCGACCUCAGCCACAACCGGCUGCGGGGCCUGGGGGACGGCGGGGCGCUGGCGGGGCUGCGGGGCCUGCGCAAGCUCAGCCUCAGCCACAACGAGCUGGGCGCCGAGGGCCCGGGCCUGCCCCCCCGCCUGGCCGAGCUGGGCCGCCUGGAGGAGCUGGACCUCAGCUUUAACCGCCUGCGCCGCCUGCCCGAGGGCCUGGGCCACCUGCGGCACCUCCGCGCCCUCGACGUCGACCACAACCUGCUGCCCUCCUUCCCCGCCCCGCUGCUGGAGCUGGCCGCUCUGGAGGAGCUCGACUGCUCAGGCAACCGCCACCUCGGGGCCCUGCCCGAGGGCAUCGCUGCCCUCCACCGCCUCAAGAUCCUCUGGCUGAGCGGCACCGGGCUGGCGGCCCUGCCCGAGGGCCUCUGCCAGCUGAGUGCCCUGGAGAGCCUCAUGCUGGACGGCAACCGGCUACGGGCUCUGCCUGCUGGCUUUGGCAGCCUGCAGCGGCUCAAGAUGCUGAACCUCUCCUCCAAUCUACUGGGGGAGUUCCCCACUGCCAUCUUGGCGCUGCCCAGCCUGGAGGAGCUCUACCUGAGUCGCAACCAGCUCACCCUGCUGCCCCCUCGCCUCUGUCAGCUCCGCCAGCUCCGCGCCCUUUGGCUGGACAACAACCACAUCCGCUACCUGCCUGACUCCAUCGUGCUUCUCCACAGCCUGGAGGAGCUGGUCCUGCAAGGCAACCAGAUUGCCAUCCUGCCUGAGGGCUUCGGGCAGCUCUCCCGCGUCACCCUGUGGAAGAUCAAAGACAACCCCCUCAUCCAGCCCCCCUAUGAGGUGUGCAUGAAAGGCAUCCCUUACAUUGCAGCUUACCAGCACGAGCUGGCCCACUCCCAGCCUGCCCUCAAACCCCGCCUCAAGCUUGUCCUCAUGGGCCUAAAGGAUGCAGGAAAGACCCUGCUGAGACGAUGUCUCAUGGAGGAGGAUGGGCAGAGGGAGAACAUGGGAAAUCUGGAAGCAGGGAGCACCCAGCCCAGAGGGUGCCCUGGGAAGCAGCAGGACAUUGGGAGAGUGCCAGUUGGAUGUUGUCCCUUCCUGGAGCCUCAGGAUGCUUCCUCAGCAUGGGUACCUGCCACGCAGCAGCUGGAACAUCUCCCUGUUGAGCAGCAGGACAUCCCUUCUCACGUGCCCUCUCACCGAGUGACAGGGGAAACACCAUGCCCUGCACCAUCGCUGCCAUCGGAUGCGUCCCAAGUACCACCAGGACUGUCAGGAGGCAGCAAGGGCAUUGAGGUGAUGGACUGGACAGCGGAUGCAGAGAGGGGCCUGACAUUCAUUGUGUACGAGUUGGCGGGGGACCCGAGCUAUGAUGUGAUCCAGUCUUUCUUCCUCUCUCCUGGAGCCCUGUAUGUGCUGGUGGUGAAUUUGAGUGCCUAUGUCCCUCAGCACUUCUACCCCUCUGUGGGCUAUUUCUUGCACUGGCUUGGUUCCAAGGUGCCCCAUGCUGUGGUGUGUAUGGUGGGAACCCACGCUGACCUCUGUGCGGAGCGGGAGUUGGAAGAGAAGUGCCUGGACAUCCAUCACCAGAUCGCUCAGCAGGAGAAGAGGGAUGCUGAGGGACUCCAGAGCUUGGUCCAGCAGGUGGACGAGGCACUGGGACAGGACUUUGACCUGCGCUGCUCCAGCCCGCAUGCUGCCUUUUAUGGGGUCUCAGACAAGAACUUGCGGCGAAAGAAAGCCCAGUUUCAGUACCUUCUCAACCACCGCCCACAGAUCCUCUCUCCAGUGCUGCCUUUCAGCUGCCGGGACCGUUGCCAGGUGCGUCGCCUGCGGGACAAGCUCCUCUCAGUGGCUGAGCACCGGGAUAUCUUCCCAAACCUGCAUCGAGUGUUGCCCAAAUCCUGGCAAGUGCUGGAGGAGCUGCACUUCCAGCCACAGGCUCAACAGCUGUGGCUUAGCUGGUGGGACUCUGCCCGGUUGGGCUUGCAGGCAGGCCUGACGGAGGAUCGGCUCCAGAGCGCCCUGUCCUACCUGCACGAGAGUGGAAAGCUGCUCUACUUCGAGGAGCACCUCACCUUGCGGGAGUACGUGUUCCACAACCUGCCGCGGCUCAUUGACAUCCUCAAUGUCUUCUGCCAGCGGGAUGCCACUGUGCUGCUCCAGAAACUGCUCAGCGACACCCACAUUGACGAACUGAGAGCCACUCAGCUCCAUCAUUACGUGGAGGGGUUCUUGCUGCACGGCCUCCUCCCUGCCCACGUUAUCCGUCUCCUCCUUAAGCCCCACAUCCAGAGCAGGGAGGAUCUGCAGCUCAUCCUGGAGCUGCUGGAGAAAAUGGGCCUCUGUUACUGUGUCAACAAACCCAAAUGCAAGCCCCUAAAUGGGGCGGCUGCUUGGUACAAGUUUCCCUGCUACGUGAAAAACGAGGUGCCCCAUGCAGAGGCGUGGAUCAACGGCGCCAAUCUGAGCGGACAGUCCUUUGUGGUCGAGCAGCUGCAGAUUGAAUAUAGCUUUCCAUUCAUUUUCCCACCCGGCUUGUUUGCACGCUACAGCGUCCAGAUUAACAGCCACGUGGUUCAGCGGUCAGAUGGCAAAUACCAGAUCUAUGCCUACCGGGGAAAGGUGCCCGUGGUGGUGAGUUACCGGCCUGCCAGGGGAGCUCUGCAGCCAGAUACUCUCUCUAUCGCUAGUCAUGCGUCCCUACCAAAUAUCUGGACAGCUUGGCAAGCUAUUACCCCUUUAGUGGAAGAACUGAAUGUCCUGCUCCAGGAAUGGCCGGGCCUGUACUACACUGUGCACGUCCUCUGUUCAAAGUGCCUUAAAAGAGGGUCACCCAACCCCCACACUUUUCCAGGAGAACUGCUGAGUCAGCCAAGACCAGAGGGACUGACGGAGAUCAUCUGUCCCAAGAAUGGCAGCGAGCGAGUUAAUGUUGCCUUGGUUUACCCCCCCACUCCUACUGUGAUCAGCCCUUGUUCCAAGUGAGACCUGAAAGCAAACCCCCAUUCCCCUGUCAGUAGACACCAGAAAACCUACAUAAAACGUGCCUCCACUAAAUCUUUUUUAUGGAAGGUAGCAGCCUCACAGCCUGGGGACUGUUCUAGUUAUUUGUGGAUGUAGACAGCCCGCUCAAAAGAUAAGAGAUAAAUCGUCAGUACUGGUGCCAAAGGUUUUCCACCGGGCAAAACAUGGCUGAUGCUCUGCAGUGCUCCCAUCUCUCCAGUUGCGGAGUUGCAUGCUGAUGGGGAUCAAUGGGACUUUGGACUCUGAAACGCUGUGGGGCGGCGGCAGCUCCCAGGUGGGGGCCUCGUGGCUGGAGUGGAUGCAGUCACCUGGAGGUUGGGGACGACAACGAAGCAUGAAGCAAAACAAUUGCUGCAGAUGACAGGGCCGCUGGCCAGAGGGAAAGCACUGGGGAUAGGAUUCUGUGGACCCAUUGGUUGUGUGUUGAAAACCCAUUUGGAUCUCAUGAUGAAUGUAAAAAUGUUCUUGGUACCAUUUAAUUCAGACCUGCUUGGAGGAAAGUCUCUUGAAAUGAGCUGUAGCGGGAUUCCCUGGAUUUGUUCCUGGACAAGUGAGUUUUGUGGCAGUUGGCCAAGGCUUUGUCGGGGAGGGGGUUGAUGCUGUGAAGCCUUUAAAAUUGCUCCACUGCAAAACAGCUGGCUGUGUCCCACACAGCAGGCUUGGGCGGUGGCUGGCAGAGUGGUGGGAGAAGCAGGGAAAGGCUGGGAAAUGUUUCCUGCGUUGUGUGUUUACUUACGCUGUGCCAUGAAGCGGUAAGGAUGUGUUGUAAUUACGCAGGGAUGGAAAAAAGGCAGUCAGUGUGCACCCAGCAACUGCCAGCUCUUCUUUACUGCUAUCUCCAACAGCUCAUGGUCUGCCACAUCUGGAUGCUCUGGAGUUACAGAAUCACAGAAAGAUAUGGGUUGGAAGGGACCUCUGGAAAUCAUCUAGUCCAGCCCCCCUGACAGAGCAGAGUUGCCAUUGUGGUACUCUCCAUACAUUGUGGCCACUAGAGCAGUAGAAAUCUAGAUCUGGGUCCUCCUCCUAGCAAGGCCACCCAGGCAUGUUUGUGCAGAGAUCUAGUGAAGCAGUGUGUGGCUGUGUUGUACAAACUGGCCCUGAUCCCCUUGGGCUGACCCUGACAGCCGUGCUUCGUGAGCAGCCAUUCUCCCUGGGCCAGAUGUGGGAAAGGGCAGGCUGAGCACUGCCACUACAGUGCUGGUUUCUCUCCCUACUAGGUGGUUUUGAGGACUUCUAAGAUGUUGCUGUCAGUUUGUGCCCUACAGCUGAGCCCUAAUAGUGGGGCUGUAUGAAUCCUGCUCCAUGGAAAUAUUUGAUUUAGUGUAAAUCAAAAAGAGGCAGGCAUUUCCAGAGCCAGGAUCCCUUAAUCAGAUGAUGGUGGAAGUCUGAGAGAAGAGGGACUUAAAAUGUUUGUGUUAAUGUACAGCUCUUAACCCUUUGGGCUGUGAUGGCAGACCUGGGAUGAGUGAUACUGGUCGGCAAGCAGUCACCACCAGGAUGCAGGCUGGCCAGGCCUGCAACCAGUGCAAGACAGUGACAUGCAUCCAGCUGGGACCUGCUGCUGUUGCACAGGUGACGUUCCCCUGGCUUCUGUUUCUUCAAAUACCAGCCUUGUGUGCAGGGCUGCAAAUAUCCCCAUUGGCAGGAACUUGACACUGGGAAAAGCAGGGCAGAAUCCACUCUAGCAGGAGAUUAUGGACGCCAGGUGGAAGAAAUCAAGCCAUUGUGCCUCACUUCAGGGGGCAAAAGCUGCCAAAUAAAAGCUGGCAACUCAGUCAGCUUCGCAUCUCUUCAGGGUAUUAUUCCAGCUGGGGAGAGAGCUUGGGCUUAGAUUUCAUGUGCCACCUCUGGCAAUGGGCGUUUGAACCUUUCUUAUGUCAGUGGGAAGCAUUAAUUGACGGUGCUUAUGUAUCGCUGUUGAUAAAUUGGGGACUAGAAAUUGCCUGUGGUGCUGCAGGGAGUGGAAGGGAGGUGAGAUCUUUGAAUGUCAGGAAUAGUGCUGGAAAACUCCCUUGUCCUGAGUCUUGCUGCCCGUGAGACAUGAAGGGCCCUGGUAUAUCAGAAUUUAUGUUAGAGCAUUCCCUACUGUCACCUCCUGUGCUGGGCAGCCUUCUCUUCCUCUCUUUGCUGCUACUCACCUCUCUCUUUCCAUUCUCCAUAGGAAGAAACUAGCGAUUUGUUGCUGUGACGUUGCGUGGAAACCACAUUGUAAAGAAACCACAAACUGGAAUCCUUUUCCAGCCGGAGGCCUGUUUCCCAGUGCGCCCAUCUGGUCUGGGAUGCGUGAGCAUUGAAGGAGUGAGAGGACAGAGCAGACGUCUUAACAGCCUGCUCCUUGGGACCACAGCCCUCCUGCCGGGGCAUGCCACCUCCGUGGGAGCACGGCAUUACCUGGCUUUUGCAGGCACUCGGUCUGCUGUGCGCACUGAAGCCGUAAUGCCGGGAGUGUGGCAGUAUGGAGAUCAGUCUAGUUGGGUCUAUUUAAUACGAAAUGGUGAUCGCUCAUCCGCCCACUGUUUAGUAACUGGUGUAACUGUGUUUUCAUCUGUAUUUUUGUAAUAUGCAAAAGCCAUUUAAUUUUCUAUGCAGUUCAAAAAGUGUCUCCCCUUUGCAACUGCCAGGUGGGAGAUCUGUGCAGGAGAACCAAGCCAAGUGGCUGAUAGUGCUUUUGAUUUUGCUGUCACUCUCUUUUAAGGAUGCAUCCUGGAAUCCUCUGCACAGUGUUCCUUUGCUGAGCUCCUGCCUCUUAGACCCCACUUAACAUCCCUGAGCCCCAGGGAUGAGGGCCCCAUGUUUUUGAAGGACCUGUUAUUUUUCAUGAGUCAAGCCACAAGGAAAGAGGGCUUAGAAGGCAAUGCCUUAAGAGCAGAGAUACCUGAGUUCAGAGCAUGUGUUAUACUCCUGUUCUUGUCCCUGCUUGGAGAGUUACUGAACUGUUAGAAAUGGCUAAGGCCUCUGUGAAGCACCGUGCAGCCUUUGCUGAAAGUGUAUUAUGAAGAGGGCAGAAGGGACUGGGGCAUCAAUUGUCUCUCCCUGGAGCUGACAGUGAAUUUAACCCCUUUGGAAUAGGAGGAGAAUCUCCUGGUACUAGAUGACUACUUAAGUCGAGAGGACUGCGCUGGUUUUGCAUAUUGGUUUGCAGACCCUUUGCUUGUUGACCAGUUGAUUUCCUACUGAAACUGGUGCAGACAGGUUUGGAAGCAGAGCUGGCGAGUUGCUUUGCACUGCAGGACUUUCAGCAGCUGGAACAUGUCUUGGAGUACCUUGUGUUAUGCUCUGAAGCAAAACCUGGGAUUCAAACCUGCAUCCGUCCAAUUGAAACUCCCAGGAUAGCAGCUUUGCCUUCUGCUGGAUCUGUGUAACCUGUGAGAAAUUGCGUGUUCCUAAGCAGCACACAAAUCUGUUGAGGUAGAGUGAGAGGGAGCCCAAAGGGUGAUGCUGCACAUCUAGCUCAUCUUAGGGUUUGCAGGGGAUACUUGGAUGCUUCUGGCAGCUGUAGAGCGUCCUGGGUGAUGGGACAUCUCUGCUUUAACUGUACUAAAGGCAAAAAGGUCAGAGAAAUUAUUGUUUCUAAGCUGACACAAAGCCAGGAUGCAUUUGACUAGUCUCCUUUCAUGGCAAUGCUGUUCUUUCUGCAUUCUCUCUCUGCUCUGAGCUUGGGAGAUUCAGCUUUAAACUUAAACAGAGACCAGAUUGAGAUUUAACCUGCGUUGUGGUCUCUCAAAUCAGAUGGAAGAGACUGGGGGCUGCAGAAACACGGGUCAUCUCCCUUGCAGCAUCCCCCAUGCGACAGUUCUACAGUGGCUGUGAAAACUCAAUAGUGUGUGUGGGUGCUGCUUUUCCAGGAACCCAAGAUGCGCUUGGCUGUGCUGUAGCACCAGAGCUUACAUGGGAUCCCUGUUCUCUUCCCCUUUGUACCUCUGAGGUGGUUAAAGUUUGUCAGAGCAGUAGGGGCUCUUCACUGUGAGGAGACAGGUAUGGUUGUGUUAAAGGGAACUGCAAAUGGUAUUUAGGAGCUCACUAAGUGAGGUGAAAACCCACCGGCUCACUCUUGCGGAGCCAGAUCCUGGAGCUCAGCUCCUCCCGUGCCCUUUGGAUGGGAUCUUGGGCUGGCGUCCUUGGAACAGCAGUGCGGGGAGGUGGAGGUGCUGCACUGCAGUAAGCACAAGAAGAGGCAAGCAAGUGGGCCUCAGUGUAGCACUCAUCACGCGCUUCAUGGCUCAGUUCAUGGACUGUAAUUGCAGGUAUUCAUAUAAUCUACAUCACUGGGCAGGACUCUGCGCACACACACAUGCAUGCCCAGACGUACACGCACCACACCCACACUUGCCUACACAUCCUCGCCAAAACAACUGAAAAUAAAAGUGAUCUCAAUCUCAA